AGACGAGUUCAACACACGUGGAGGCACCAGAUUGGCUGGACGGAGUUGUGAUGACGAGCUGCAAAAGAGGUGUUUCGAGUUAUUCUCCUCAUUUCCUCUUUUCUCCCAAAUAGCUAGGGUUUGCGACUCGAGAGGCGAUUCUUGUAGCUACGGCGAUCGAGAGGUCUUUUGUUCAUAAAAUCGAGGAGGGAGUGUCUCUUGAUCGAUCUCAGAUGGAUCCCGCAGAAGAAAUAAGACAUUCAAAGAAACAAAGGGAGAACUGCAACAUGUUAUGGUUCGUCCAGGAUUCACAGUACGGGAUUCCAAGAAGGUGUGCUUGCGGUGGGAAAAUCAUUGACGAGGUCCGGGGGAAGGAAGACUACGACAGUCAGCCUGGAAAGCGCUACUUCACGUGCAUCAACUAUGAAGGAUGAUCGGUUGCAUUAUAGUCAUCCUUGGGUGGUUGGUGUCCAGGAGGAGAUCGAAAGGAUGAGGAAGCGUCUGGAGGAUGCUGAGGAGGAGAUCAAGGGGGUGUGGAAUCUCAAGUUCCAGAUUCAGACCCUGCAGGAACAGUUUAGAAGCCUCACUGUCCAGGUCGCCACCCUGGAGAAGGUGUGCUUCGACUGAAAAUCAGAGGUUUCUAUGUCACGGGUUGCUGUGUCUUUUGCUGGAUCACGGGUUCAUAUGUCUGGAUCACGGGUUGCUAUGUCUGUUGCUGGUAUUAAUAAGUAUGUUGUUGCUCUAUUUUUACGGGAUCAGUGUAGUCUUUUGUAUGUUUCUACACUGAUGUUGCUUUAUGAUGAACGUAUGCAGUGGAGUCUUUCUCACACUGCUACUAUGUCCUUUUCUCUGUUUCGACACUAGUUUAUUUAAGUCACGGGUUGUACUAUGUAACAAAGAAGCAUAUAUAAAUAUGCUCUUGAUGUAUGUUUCAAAAUCAGAACUCAACUACUUCUCUU